rnacentral:rRNA from 1 species
GAUGAACGCUGGCGGCGUGCCUAAUACAUGCAAGUCGAGCGAACAGACGAGAAGCUUGCUUCUCUGAUGUUAGCGGCGGACGGGUGAGUAACACGUGGAUAACCUACCUAUAAGACUGGGAUAACUUCGGGAAACCGGAGCUAAUACCGGAUGAUAUUUUGAACCGCAUGGUUCAAAAGUGAAAGACGGUCUUGCUGUCACUUAUAGAUGGAUCCGCGCUGCAUUAGCUAGUUGGUAAGGUAACGGCUUACCAAGGCAACGAUGCAUAGCCGACCUGAGAGGGUGAUCGGCCACACUGGAACUGAGACACGGUCCAGACUCCUACGGGAGGCAGCAGUAGGGAAUCUUCCGCAAUGGGCGAAAGCCUGACGGAGCAACGCCGCGUGAGCGAUGAAGGUCUUCGGAUCGUAAAACUCUGUUAUUAGGGAAGAACAUAUGUGUAAGUAACUAUGCACGUCUUGACGGUACCUAAUCAGAAAGCCACGGCUAACUACGUG